ensembl:lncRNA
UUAGCCUUUGGUCCACAAAACGUUGUUGUGUCCCGGCUGUCUGAAGUAGGUAAGGAGCAACACAAAAACAGUCCAAACCCUGGUUUCCAGAGGGUUAGACGAGUAUUUAUUUGAAAGAGUCCCUCUCUAUCUCCCCACACAUCCACCAACCACUGGAACACAUCUCCAAAGUUCUGCUGGACCAGCUCAGCUUCCCCUCAGAAGAAGUGCUGCCACCUGCCAGAUGAAGGAGCCUUUUGAGAGGCAGCUGGCAUCGUGAUUGGACUGUACUUUGGUCUGUUCCAAUCCAGCUUCAGCUCCAGAGACGGCAGGCGGGACGAGUCAACGGAGGCCUGGUGGACGAAGACCAAAGAACUACAGACUCUUCACAACCUGCUCAAACUCUUGAUACAGGACCUCACCACACGGGUC